rnacentral:rRNA from 1 species
UACGAAGGGGGCUAGCGUUGCUCGGAAUCACUGGGCGUAAAGCGCACGUAGGCGGAUUGCUAAGUCAGGGGUGAAAUCCUGGAGCUCAACUCCAGAACUGCCUUUGAUACUGGCGAUCUCGAGUCCGGGAGAGGUGAGUGGAACUGCGAGUGUAGAGGUGAAAUUCGUAGAUAUUCGCAAGAACACCAGUGGCGAAGGCGGCUCACUGGCCCGGUACUGACGCUGAGG